rnacentral:lncRNA from 1 species
GAUAAGUGGUGGUUAGAUGAAAUAAGCAGGUUUGGGUUGAAAAACAAAUAACAACUUAUUUUCCCUAGUUACACGAUGACAAUAUCACUUUCCACUAUAUUAGUAUAAUGCCCAUUUAUUUAGGAAGAAGUUAGUGUGAGGAUUAAUACCUAUAUAAGUAACUAUCGGUUCUCUCUCACUUCCAUUAUUCUUUCCCUUGCCGGUUCUAUACGCUUAGAAAAUAGAGAAAAAAUUAAGCCAAAGAGGGAUGAACAGAAGAUCAACUAAGAAUUAGCAAAUAGGUUUUGUCAGCAAGUGUGAGCUUAUAUUGAAGCAUAUGUUGAUUAGGAGUUGCUGCUAUUAAGGUUAGAGGGUCUUCCGUUAUUUGUUAUUUUAAUUAAUCACAUGUUUUUGUGAUCUUUAUGGUGUUUGUAAAUGAUAUAUGAAUUCUUGUGAUAUGCAUGAGUUUAUUUUCUUGUUAACCUUGAUUAAUUAUGUUUUUUUGAUUUGGUGAUUGGAGUUAUCAAUGGUGUAUCUGGUUGGUGAGUGGGGUUGUCAUUAGGGAGAUCUUAUCUCUAAACCGGAGUUAGAAUAAGAUCGUUUUGAUUAGUUACUCGGUGUGAGUAAUUUUUGGUGUUGACUAACUUAGCGGUGAUAGGACAUUCAUACAUUUUUGGUGUGGUUUGGAAUAAUACCCAACGGUGGGGUACCGAACCUUAAUACCCAAUGGUGGGGUAUUGUGUCCAAUGGUGGGACAAUUUACUCUGCGGAGCGGUGAUAUCCGGAUCAUAUAGGGUGCAUUAAAAUAUCAUAUAGACUAAUCUUUAGGAUUUGGUGAAACAUUGGAGAGUGUAACUAUGGUGUCGUGUGGUAAGUGGUUGAUAACUACUUAUUUUAUUGUCGGUAAUUUAUGAGUUUUCCAUAUGUAUAUAAGCAUGCUUAAUUGAUGUUUUCCUAUUGAUAAACUCCAAUUUAGUGUAUUAUAUGUAGAUACUUUUUGUGGUAUUUUAAAAUAAUUACUUAUUAUUAUAUAAAUUACUAGCUUCACUUAAGUAUUUAUUAUUACUAACUAUUAUUAUUAUAUAUAUUACUAAUUAUUAAUAUUAAUCACUUAAAUAUAUAUUACUUAAUAUUAUUAUGUUAUUUGUGUAGAUAUGAAUGGCCCAAUUAAAAUACCUCACGCUGGCCCAAUUUAUAUGAAAGGGAGGUUAUGCAAGUUGGAAGGAAAUAAGCUAACAUUAAGUUACUGAGGCGGCAACAUCAGCCAGAGGGGAUUACAAAUUAAAAAGGUCUGACAGCUCAAGAACAAGUGGUCUAUGGCGGUGAAGAUUAAAGGAGAAAGAAACUUAAUGCAUGAGGAAAUUGGAGACCUGUAUCAACAAAGAACAGAGUCGGCAACUGAAGCUAUAAAUAGAGCUUCUUGGUUUCAAUUAAAAGAUCACUUUUGUACAUAGAAGACAGUUUUGGAGAGGCAGAGAUUGAAGAACAUAGAGGAGAAUACCAACAACAAUUGAAGCAUUUUUGGGUUAUUCUCUUCUCUUAAUUUCAUGAAUCUUUUAGUGUUCUUCAUGAUUAUAUGUAGC